AUGAUACUUCAGUGUGAAGACAUUGACUCAACCCCAUGAAACAGCUUCUUUAAAGAAAGGUGAUCACAGCUUAGGAGGGUUGUCCUGGAACGGAGACUUAAAUGCAUGCCAAGGGAGCGUGAGCAAGGAGGGCGAGCAGGCUACCAAGGACGGGUGCAGUUGAAGAGGGUGCAGUGAAAGAGCGUAGUAGAUCAACUCAGUGAACCAGCCAAGAUUGAAAAGAUACACAGGAAGUCAUCAUCAGAGUUUCUACUUGAGAAGGAAGGAAAUGGACCGAGGAGAAAUAUGGGGUAAUUUUAACUUUAUUUGUAACAUU
rnacentral:lncRNA from 1 species